GCCAUGCAUGUCUAAGUACAAGCGAAAAUAAAGUGAAACCGCAAAAGGCUCAUUAUAUCAGUUAUGGUUCCUUAGAUCGUAUCCACAAUUACUUGGAUAACUGUGGUAAUUCUAGAGCUAAUACAUGCAAUUAAAGAGAUACCAGUAAAACGGGAUCUCUGCUUUUAUUAGAUUUAAACCAAUGGGGAUUGCUUCGGCUUUCUCAAUUUAAAUGGUUGAACUCUGGAUAAUUUGUUGAUCGCAUGGUCUUGUACCGGCGACGGAUCUUUCAAAUGUCUGCCCUAUCAACUAUUGAAGGUAGUGUUUUGGACUACCUUGGUUGCAACGGGUAACGGGGAAUCAGGGUUCGAUUCCGGAGAGGGAGCCUGAGAAACGGCUACCACAUCUAAGGAAGGCAGCAGGCGCGUAAAUUACCCACUCCCGGCACGGGGAGGUAGUGACGAAAAAUAACAAUACAAGACUCACAUCCGAGGCCUUGUAAUUGGAAUGAGUAGAUUUUAAAUCCUUCUGCAAGGAUCAAUUGGUGGGCAAGUCUGGUGCCAGCAGCCGCGGUAAUUCCAGCACCAAUAGCGUAUAUUAAAGUUGUUGCGGUUAAAACGUUCGUAGUUGAACUUGUGUUUCGCACGGGCAAUACCUAGGACUAGGUAACUAGGACGGUAUUUGUCUUAUCUUUCCAUUUCCUUAAUAGGGAUUUGGGAAAAGUGCGUGAACGUAUUAUCGGCGUGUUUCAUUUUCAUUUUCUAAUGGAAAUAAACACAUAAGCCCAUUUCAGUGCUCUUUACCGAGUGUUGUUGUGGGCCGAUACAAAUUACUUUGAACAAAUUAGAGUGCUUAAUGCAGGCUUGUAAUGCCUGAAUAUUUUGUGCAUGGAAUAAUGGAAUAGGACAUCUGUUCUACUUUCAUUGGUUUUUUAGACCAAGAUGUAAUGAUUAAUGGAAGCAGUUGGGGGCAUUAGUAUUACAACGCGAGAGGUGAAAUUCUUAGACCGUUGUAAGACUGACUAAAGCGAAAGCAUUUGCCAAAGAU
rnacentral:rRNA from 1 species